ACAUGCCUAUAGCAUAGAGUUAAUGCACCAAAUCCCAUUAGAACUUCACAGUUAAGCGCGCUCAGGCUAGAGUAGUACUAGGAUGGGAAGUCCUAGUGUUUUACAUGCC
rfam:Picea glauca, whole genome shotgun sequence.